AUGAACGCUGGCGGUAGGCCUAACACAUGCAAGUCGAACGGCAGCACAGUAAGAGCUUGCUCUUAUGGGUGGCGAGUGGCGGACGGGUGAGGAAUACAUCGGAAUCUACCUUUUCGUGGGGGAUAACGUAGGGAAACUUACGCUAAUACCGCAUACGACCUUCGGGUGAAAGCAGGGGACCUUCGGGCCUUGCGCGGAUAGAUGAGCCGAUGUCGGAUUAGCUAGUUGGCGGGGUAAAGGCCCACCAAGGCGACGAUCCGUAGCUGGUCUGAGAGGAUGAUCAGCCACACUGGAACUGAGACACGGUCCAGACUCCUACGGGAGGCAGCAGUGGGGAAUAUUGGACAAUGGGCGCAAGCCUGAUCCAGCCAUACCGCGUGGGUGAAGAAGGCCUUCGGGUUGUAAAGCCCUUUUGUUGGGAAAGAAAAGCAGCCGGCUAAUACCCGGUUGUUCUGACGGUACCCAAAGAAUAAGCACCGGCUAACUUCGUGCCAGCAGCCGCGGUAAUACGAAGGGUGCAAGCGUUACUCGGAAUUACUGGGCGUAAAGCGUGCGUAGGUGGUUGUUUAAGUCUGUUGUGAAAGCCCUGGG
rnacentral:rRNA from 1 species